GGGCGGGGCUUCAAAUCACCUGUCAGUCUAAACGUUGCAAAAGUUUGAGGGUGCUUGGAUUACCUUUGGGAGCCGCUGCUUAAAUUUUCUUACUAAAUUUUACUAAACUGUUCAGCUCGAACUGUUUCAACACGACAGAGCACAUCUCACACACCGCGACGACAGAUGUAGCCUUUUACAAACUUCAGGCUCAAACAAAGAGAACCAAACAAGACAACAGUCUCAUGUGCCUGUUUCGGGGCAACGUUGUAUUGGAUUGUAACCUCCAACACUCUCUCCCGACACAAACUUGAUGUGUCACCGUGAUUGGCACGGAGGAGAUGACAUGACAGAGCUGGUUUUGGGGGACUGACAGGUAGUUGGCAGGUUAAGGCUCCCCUGUUGGGCGCUGCUCUGCCUCAGGACAGUCACCUGUCAACCCAGGUGAAGGCUCGUCAUAGCUGAUGACCGCGAGCAGCAGAGUGGAUAUAAUGGGAUGAGCAGACUGACACAGACGUGGUGCAGGACUCCCUUUGUCUGUGGGGCGUAGGAGUGGACCUCGUUUCAGUCAAGCAUGCUGAACAACCAGCACCAAGAGUCUUGGCACCGUGGGUGACGUGCUGGCGUCUGAAUUGUGAGCACAUGAUUGAUCCGAGUGGUGUUCAGUCUUAUGAUGCCAAGUGUUUAUAGUCUGUUCAUUUUAUAAUGCU